UGUGUAUUAUUAGCGUGCCUCAGCUCGUCCACUACGUAACGGCGUGUAGACUGGGAGUCGACGCAGCACCGGUAACUUGGAGAGCGCUUUUCGACCGCGUCGUACCAUUAAAAAGUGGCGAGGCCGUAACCCACACCAGUGUCCACAUAAUGGAGGAGCCAGCAGAAAUGCAGGGAAACCUUGAAUGACUGCCAUAGCGCAGUGUGUAAUCUGAUUGCUUGGUUCAGGUACACCUAGCAAAUGUAUACAUUGACGAGGAGUGGCACCUGCUCUAGUGCCAUGGCUAGGACUCCCUGUUCUGCAAAGAACUGGCGAAACUGGUGUGCGGAGUUUUGGCACUCAGGAUAGGAGCAUCACAGGGGCUCUUUGGUGGUGCUUCCUGAACGACCGCAAUUUCAUUGAGAAGCCGGCAUUGAGCCUCCAUAAAUUGGAAGCUGUGGACAGUAUCAUCGACAUUGUUUCAAAUUUGUUUGUGUAAUGUUUGUAACAAUACAUGUAUUACAGUGAAAUGAUUAAUUUUCCAGAUGCACUUGAUGCAUAUCUUUCGAGAUGUGGUGCCCCUGAGGAGGAGAAAUCGCGGUGCUCAAAAUGGACCGUAGCCUAGCAGACAUGCUGAGAGAAAUUAAGUAAGCGUGUAAUUGCAAACAUGUGUACAUGCAGUAAACCUCAUUAAUUUGAACUCGUGGGGGCCAUGCGAAAUGUCAGGACUAAGCAAACUCAACCAAAAUGGUUUAAAAUAUAUAUUUAUGUUUCGGCUUCCCACAGGAGCCUUGUUCACAAUGAAACCAGCAGCAGAGUAGGUAACGUUCUUAUCUGCAGCUCAAAACAUGAUUAAGGUACUUGGCAUACAUGGACAUGGAUGAUUAGAGAUUCAAGAUAGACGCGUAAAAUGAUUUCAUUCCUUAACAAUCAAGCGAUAUUUUUCCUAGCUAAUUGUGACGUAGUUGCGCAGUGCUUGGCCAGGGCAUUCGAUGCAAAGUAUCGUUUCUGGACAUCAUUCCUGUGCUGUUUAAGUCUUUUUUUGGAGUUGCCGGUUUCUCCGAUGUAGACGUACCGACAGUUCGCACACCGAAGGACCUACACUACGCCUGGGAACUUGCCCUUUUCCGAACGGUCUUUCACAUGCAUGAGCUCGUGUUUACGUUUUGGAACGUGCACAGCCUGCACAUCAUAUGACCACAACGCAUGCAAGGGUCUCGCUUAUGCAGGGGACCUAUGGUAUUGAAGCCCAUUUUUCGGGGGGUCCAGGGAGGGUGGGUACUGCGCGAGCCAGCUGACACCCUACUGUGUCAAUGGAGUACUCAGGGUAUCCACAAGCCAUCAAUUCCCACUGCACAAGUGAAUUGUCUGCCAUGUGGUCUUCUACUGUUGUGCACACAUUUUUCACCCAACGAAGGAGAGAGCAGACAACAGACCUCUUUUGCGAAGCAGGGUGCACCAAUGUGUAGUUGAGGUAGCGCCCCGUGUGAGUUAGCUUCCUAAACACCUCGAAUAACAGGUUUGGCCCUUUAUGCUGCACGAGGCUGUCCAAGAAUGACAGUUGGCCUUCAGAUUCCACUUCUAUGGUGAACUUAAUUGCUGCUUGCAUUACUGUUUAAGUGAGCCGUGAGGAGGUGAAUAUUCUGUUGUUGCAAAACUCUGAAACAGUCGACAUAUCUGAAAAAGACCUUAGGUGUCGAUGUAAACGAGCUAACCUUGAGUUAAACCUUGACCUCUUCACGGCUCACUUAAACAAUUGCAAGCAAAAUUAGGUUCACCAUAGAAGUGGAAUGUGAAGGUCAACUGUCAUUCUUGGACUCCCUUGUGCCACGCGAAGGGCCAAACCUGUUAUUUGAGGUGUUUAGGAAGCUAAC